GAUGAACGCUGGCGGCGUGCCUAAUACAUGCAAGUCGAGCGGUAACACUUCGGGUGACGAGCGGCGGACGGCUGAGUAACGCGUAGGAACGUACCCCAAAGUGAGGGAUAACUCCGAGAAAUCGGGGCUAAUACCGCAUGUGAUCUUCGGAUUAAAGCUUUAUGCGCUUUGGGAACGGCCUGCGUAUGAUUAGGUUGUUGGUGAGGUAAUGGCUCACCAAGCCUACGAUCAUUAGCUGGUCUGAGAGGAUGAUCAGCCAGACUGGGACUGAGACACGGCCCAGACUCCUACGGGAGGCAGCAGUAGGGAAUUUUCCACAAUGGGCGAAAGCCCGAUGGAGCAACGCCGCGUGCAGGAUGAAGGCCUUCGGGUUGUAAACUGCUUUUGUUUGUGACGAUUAUGACGGUAACAAGCGAAUAAGGGUCUGCUAACUACGUGCCAGCCGCCGCAGUAA
rnacentral:rRNA from 1 species